rnacentral:tRNA from 1 species
GGUAAGGUGGCCGACAUAGGCGGUGGGCUGUAAAUCCACAUAUGGGGGUUUAAUCCCCUCUUUGCCA